rnacentral:lncRNA from 1 species
CGCAGGUGCUAGGCGGGGCCAGCAGUGGGCGUGGUCUUUCCGGGCCCGGGAUUGGUGAAGGCUCCGGGGCUGACGAGGCGAGGCCGGAGCCCUCCCCAGUUUCCUGCUAUCCGGAGCCGGGCGGCUCGCCCAGGAUACGGAGCCCGGCGGUCACGGGGGAGAAGGUAGCUGUCGGGCAUUCCCCUGGCGCUGAAGGGCAGAUUGCCAUCCCUAGCCAUGUGACCUAGGGCAAGUUCCUGUCCCUCUCUUGACCUUAUCUACAUACUGAGGGGCUGGGACUGGUAAUCUUGAAAAUCAAUUCCUGCCCUAACAUCAUGAUUUGCUAGCUUGAGAGCAUGUGCUGACUGUUAUCCUUGACUGGUGCACUUCAAGUGUGAAGGAUACGCCAGCCUGGGCUGCAGAGGGUUCCCUGCUGUGGGGGAGGGGCUGCUCUGCCACCCCGCUGGUCUCUCCUCAGGACGAGCCUGGGAAUCUAAGCACAGUGGGCUGAACAUCUGCUGGGACAAGGAUGGGGCCAGAGACAGAUCACUCUGACUCACCACCCUGCCACCAAACUAAUGUCUGCAGAAGACCCCAGGUCUCCAAGCAACCACAUGGUCAAGGGCAUGAAUAAUUAAAAGUUGGUGGGAACUCACAAAGACCCUCAGAGCUGAGACACCCACAACAGUGGGAGGUUUGAAAGCUCUAAAUUUAUUCAGCUUAUACUGAAAGGAAAUGAAGUCUAUGUCCAAAUAGGAAACAAUGUGGAGUACUGCUGUGCUGUGCCUUCAUUACCUGAGACUACAGCAGCCUGCAUUCUCCACCGGGCUCGGAGGAGUGCAGAUGCCUGAGCUAUGCAGUGUGAUUCAACAAUUCCAGUUGGACGGAAAAUACAGCUGUCUUUUUUACGGAGUUGAAGUCAAAUCUACGUGCAGCUUUUUUUACCUACAAAUAAUGGACAAGCUCCUGAAUCCAACAUAUUCUAGCUGAAACGGAUCCCAGGACGGAAUGCUGGAGAGAUGCGUAUUCCAGCUACAGGCCCUCAGAGCUCAGUGGUCAGUAAAGAAACGAAGUCUCAGUAUGUUGCCCAAGCUGGUCUUGAACUCCCGGUCUUAAGCGAUCUCCUUGCCUCAGCCUCCCGAGUACUUCUCAGUUUUCUAUACAAAUCUCUCAUCUAUCCCUAACCUCUCAUGUAUUUCAAAGAAAAGCUCUGGAAUGUGUCUGGGACCUGUGUAUAUAUGGGCAAAACUCAUCAACGAAUGGGCUCCCUGGUGAUUAUUUGGCAGAUUCCUGGCAAUUUCAUCAGAGGAUCCAAAAAGUGGAGAAACUCCAAGAUGAACCCCAAAGAUCUCCAUCUCCAGCUGUUCACACUCCUAUGUAAUCUCUAGCCCUUGGGUGUGGAAAGGACUUGUGACUUACUUUAACCAACAACAGAAUAUAGCAAAGAUGCCUAAGAACUGCAAAUGAGAAAUAAUUU